GUUGGCGGCCAUAGCUGGGAGCUAGGACCCGUACCCAUUCCGAACACGGAAGUGAAUCUCCCAGGCGAUCCCUGUGGUAGUGUGGUGAGAGAUCCCACGCGAAGCUUAGACCGCUGCCAACC
rfam:Archaeon 13_1_40CM_2_52_13 13_1_40cm_2_scaffold_4318, whole genome shotgun sequence.